GACAGAGGUGGCAAGCGUUGUUCGGAUUCAUUGGGUGUAAAGGGCAGGUAGGUGGCUAUGCAAGUCCGGUGUGAAAUCCCACGGCUCAACCGUGGAACUGCAUUGGAAACUGCAUGGCUUGAAUACUGGAGAGGUGAGGGGAAUUCUCGGUGUAAGGGUGAAAUCUGUAGAUAUCGAGAGGAACACCAGUGGCGAAGGCGCCUCACUGGCCAGUUAUUGACACUGAGCUGCGAAAGCAAGGGGAGCAAACAGG
rnacentral:rRNA from 1 species